rnacentral:lncRNA from 1 species
ACCGUAUGAGAAAGUUAUUGAAGAUUGUUGGUUAGGUGUUCAAAUAACGUUUUAUAGUUUUCACAUUUAGGUGAAAAUGUGAAUUGAUGAUCCGACCGUUGGAUCAUCACCAAACUUUGAUACGUUAUAAUACGUAAUAUUUGAGGAUUAUUGGAACUUACGGAUUGGGAAUCCGAGUUACGGAUCUUCCGGAAUUGGAAUUUUAAGUCCAUAAUAUAAAAUGUUAACCGUCACUUAGUUUUGGAAAUUGACGGAAAUCCAACCGUUGGAUGGUAAUGAAAUUUUAGGAUGUUGUCCUAGAGGUAUAAUGUGGACCUCUGGAAGUUAUGGAUUUAAAAUCUGAGUGGCAGAUCUUCCGGAUACGUACUGACGUUUAUAUUUAAGAUAUUCUAUCGAUAUGAAUUCUGAGGUUGGAUUUGAUUACUAUUCUAGGCGGCGAUCGUCGUGACGCCUUGAUGUGUGGUGCUAGGGAGUUGUUGGAUGAACUCCAGGUGAGUGGGCAGUUUUGUUUUCCGUAUAUAUAUAUAUACUUAACGUUUUUCCCAGAAAUUGAAAAUGCAUGAAAUUAUGUUUAAAAUGAAAUGCAUAUGAGUUAUGUGGAAAAACGGGAAGUGAAAUACCAUGCAUAGAAUUGAUAUGAAAAGUAUAUAGAAAUGUGAGUUGAAAUGCCAUGCAUAAUAAUAUAUAUAUAUGAAUGUUAUGAUGCAUAUUAUUGGUGCGGUGGACGCACAGAUGAUGAUUUAAUUAUGAUGCAUGAUGUGAUAAAAUUGAGGUCAAGUGCACCAUGGUUAGCUUAUAGUAUUCACCGCAUUCGCCUUGGAUUGCAAGUAGAUGCUAGUCGUACAGUCCACGCAUUGGGAAACGACAGACCAGUUGAAGUCGCGAGAGUGUUAGUGAAUUCGACUGGUGGGUGACCUUAGAUUAUGUGCACAGAUGAUUUAUAGAGAAGCACUAGAGCGUAACUUGUGUGCAGAAGCCGGACGGGUCACAGAGGUGACUCCGGUUAGAUGGUAGAUAGUAUAUGAGAUCUAGGUUGAACUUUUUCCGCAUUGGAUUAAAUACGGAUGAUACUUGCAACUGUAUGCCUAUGGUGAUGAUGACAUGAGCCAGAAUGAUGAGAAUUGUGAGAUUGGUGGAUAAAUGAAGUUUGUGAAAAUUGAAUUGAAGAUGUAUAACAUUUUGACAUUUCUAGGAAACGUAUAGGGUUUUGGAGAAGAUGUUUUACCGAUUUGAUUUACAACUGACUUGUUGAUGAAUGAUAAAUUUGUUGACUUUGAUUAUACCUUAUUGACUGUUGAGAUGUUGUUUGGCAUGGCAUAUUAAUAUUGAGAAAUGUUGUUGAUGAGCAUGCAUAAUGAUGAUAUGAGAAUUGAUGAAUACAAAAUGAUACGAUGAUAUAAAUUUUAAUGUUUACAGAUUUGAAAAAAUAGGUUUAGUUUUGAUGAGUUUGGUUGGAUUAUAAGGAAAUUUUUAUUUAAGGUUUUUUGAGUUACAGGUUUUACUACAACGUUUUGAGAAUUUUGCGAUUUUCAGGACCACAAAGUUGCCCCUCCAGGUUCACAAAGGGAAUUACGACGGGUGUUCUGACAGAUUGGACAAAAUUAGGACUCAACCUUCAACUUAUAAAUUGUAUCUUAAAGCUUCCGUACUGCGCAAAUGGUUACGUCACUCUCACGUGACGGCCAGCAUGCCCUCCUUCGGGACGGGGUGUGUCAGUUGGUAUCAGAGCAUGGUUGCAAUCUUGGACAUUUUGAGAAGUUCUAGUGAAUUCUGUCAGAACUACACCGCCUCGUAGCAAACCACGUAGUUAGAGGAAUUUAGUCUCCCUGAUUUAGCGGUUUGGGGGAAACUAUUAUUAUGGUGAUUCAGUAUAUUAUCAAAAUGGACAUUUUAAGACGGGUUAUGAGUUGAAUUUGAAUCACCUUAUGAAAUGAUGAACCUGAGGGAGCGGAGUGACGGUUUAACCAAUUGGAAAAGAUGUUUCAGAUUAUGCAAGUCAAAGGAAAUUUCCUUCUGACAGUGGGUCGAGACGACUACCUGGUUUUGGGUAUGAAUUUGCAUCCUGGUGGAAACAGGAAUGUUAAUUGUUGUCACCAGAGGAAUCAGCCGAUUUAAAAUUUUUUUAGGAAAAGUUUAUCCCUCCGGCAUUUAUUGAUGGUAGUAAACAAGAGUUUACAAAUAUGAGAUAAGGAAGGUGAUGAUCGAGGGAUAUUAUAGAAAGUUUUCAGACUUGCCUCGUUCCAUCCAGAUAUUGUUGUUAAUUUGGUGGAGGUGUUAUGUUGUUUUAAGCUGGGUGGCAAAAAGGGAAGUGGUAUUUUGGGUGACCACUAUCCAUUGUAGUUCUUAUCAGGAGUAUGCUAGAUGUUGUUGAGCCUUGAGGACUCUGAGAACAUGAGCAACGAGAAUAAAGAAGAAUAAGAAAAGAAUGGGAAUUAAAAGAAGACAAUAAAGUUAAUGAUUCGUCAUAUCAAGAAUAUCGAAGGAUUCAGAGCUUCGAAAGAAGUGAAGCUAGAGUUAAUUCUUCCAGCUGAGGUUUUAAUGUCGCUGGUCAGAGUAAAAGUGAUGGAUAUACUGGUAAUCCCAGAUAUUUGAGACAAGGUGUCUCGAGUAAAGGAAAUGUACUUUGUGCAGCAGGUACAAAAUUAACACUUUGGGAAAUGUGAAAUUAAUGAAUGUGUUUAUGUGAACAGAAGGGACACAGAGUUGUGAAUCGUCCCUAGAAUCAGUUGUACUCAAUAAUUUUCCAUGAUAUCAUAGUGUCGAUUCAGCAGAGUUAUGGACUUAGUAGUUUGGUCGGAUUGACCGUGAGUACAGAGAGAUUUGAUGAGUUAUAUGUUCAGCUGUACAGACCAUGAGAAGUGGAUUCGAUUGACACAUGAGAAAUUAGUGAGUUAUAGGCUCGGCCGUACCGACCACGCGGAGUGGAUCCGGCCGACGUAUUAUUGAGAUAAGAGUUGAAUCAACCGUAUUGGUCAUUCUAGUUGACUUCGGCUGAUAUAUUUCUUAUUAUGUAUGAUAUUACCUAGAGAGUGGUAAAUAAAUGUAGUUGAGACGAGUGUAUGUAUUUUGCAUUGAGUGACAAAAUAGUAAUGUUAUAUCUUUGUGAGUGGUUGCCUACUUAUCGAGACAACGAUGAUUUAUCAGUAUUGCGGGCUGCAGACCGUAAUAUUAAUAACUCAUUCGUGGAUUCGUUAAGCAAGCAAACCGGUAGGUUAUUUUAUGUUAAUGUUGUACUUAUUUAGAAUGUUCAGUAUUAAUAAAGUAUGUAUUGUGUCGGUUAAAUUAUUUCCAUUAGAGUGGUUGGUUAUAAUUGUGACUAAAUGGAUUGUUACGGGAAACCAGUCACUUUCCAUCGAUCUGGAUGACCAGAGAUUACUUUUGUAAGUAUGCAAAGUGAAGUGAGUUCAGCCAUUAUUUAUGCUGUGUGAAAGCAAAGAGAUUGUUUUGAAAGGCUGUCAAAAAUACUUAGCUCAUGUGGUGCUAAAUGAUGUUGUUUGGAGUAGUGUGAAUAAUGUCGAAAGAGUUAGACUUUUCUUGAUGUCUUCUCUGAAAGUAUACCUGGAUUGUCUUCAGGCAGAGAUAUGAGGUUCAUUAUUGAUUUGUUGCCAGGUAUAAAUUUAUGUUAAAGAUUGGUUCAUGAUGAGUUAAGGGAAUUGGAAAUUCAGUUGAGAGAAUUGGUUGAUAAAAGUUUUAUUCAACCUAGUACAACACUUUUGAGGAGCCCCAGUUUGUUGGUGAGGAAGAAAAUGGAUCUUGAGACUGUUCAUUGAUUAUAGACAAUGGAGUCGGGUAACGAUUGAGAACCGUUAUCCAUGGUGAUGUACUGAUGUUUAUUUAACCAGCUCAGAAGUAAUUGCGAAGAUUCAAAGAUUGAAUUGAGGUCUGGUUAUUACCAAUUAAAGAUUAUGAGCGACGUUGUUCUUAAGAUUGUUUUAUGAACUAUGGUGAUGCUAUAUGGAUACUCAUGCUGUUUUAUGAGUUAUUGGAUGAAGUAUUCCAAUAAUGCCUUGAUAAAUUGAUAUCAUUUCCAUUGAAGAUAUUCUGGCAUAUUCUGAGCCAGAGCAGAGUAUGUAAACGUAUUAAGUCAAUGAAGCAAAGAUUGAGAGAACGUUAGUUGUAUGCUAAGUUUAGCAAAAGCUAAAGUUAAAUGGAUCAAGUGGCAUUCUAAAAUUUGUUAUGUCUACUUAAGGUAUUCAAGUGAAUCCUUAAAGGAUAGCAGAAAUUGAGAAUUUGGAACAACCACGAGUCGUAAUUGAGAUUUGGAAUUUCUUAGCUUACCAGGCUAUUUUGGAUGGUUGUGAAAGAAUUUUUAGUCAUUGCUUUGUCAUUAACGAGACUGAUGAGAAAAGAGGUUGUGUAUGAGUGGGAAGGAAUUGUAAGCAAAGGAUUCAACAACUGAAGUAUUUCCUCACUCAUGCACGUAUUUUGGUAUUCCCAGAGAAUAAUGGUAAUCAUAAAUUUUUAGUGAUGUUUCUUGAAUGGUAUUGGAUGCAUGUUGAUGCAAAUGUUAGGGUGAUUGCAUACGUUUCACGAUAAAUGGAACCUCAUGAGAUGAAUUACCCUACUAGUGAUUUGGAAGUCACGAUUACCAUCCUUGCUGUGAAGUUAUGGAGACAUUAUAUUUUAGUGGGAAUGCAAGAUUUUACAAAUCAAAAGAGUCUUCAAUAUCCAUUACUUGGAAGGAUUUUGAUAUGAGGCAGCGAAAGUGAAUUGUAUUGCUUAAUGAACAUGAUUGUACGAUCAGGGUGAUCGUAAAGUUUGUUCUAGCUGAAGCACUUGAUAAGAAGACUGCAGUAAGAAUUAAUAUCUGGUACGCUUGCCAAGAUUAUCUUCUUGUGGAUUGGAAAUCAACUAAAGUAAAGUUAAGAAUGAAAGAUCGAGAAGAAGUUAUACUUGCUAAGUUUCAAGUUAGGCCUUUUGGUAAGGUCGUACUCGAGACUCAAAUGGUAUGUGGAUACAAGAAAACAAAAAGUAUGUGCCUAAUGCUGAGGAUUUGAAGCAAGCAAAUAUUGGACGAAGUUCACUGUUCAACUUCUGCAAUAUUCCGAAAGUAAUAAGGUUUAUCAUACCAUUCGACAUUUUUAUUGGUCAGCAGAUUGAGGCAGAAAGAAAUAAACCUUUGGAUUGAGACAGCUAUUUUCUGUUUCGAAACGGAAAUGGAAAGAGAAUUGGAUUACGGAACUGCUAAGUUUCUUAAGUAUGUUGGUUGCGCAGUUUCCGAAGUGAAGCCAUAAGGUUCAUGAAGUGUGUCAUGUGUGUGUUUUGUUGACUUGUGAAUGGAAUAUUUCUGGGUAGAGAAAGAUUCGAUCGAGAAAGAGUUUUAGUAGACCCUGAGACUAUGGAUGAGUCUCCUCAAGUAUUCAGGUGAUUAAGUUAACCUAAAAGUAACCAGGAAUGACAAAAGACAUCAACAGAUGGAUAUGCCACUAAUCGAGUAUAUAAGGCAAAUGGUUUUAUAUUUUAGAAGUGUUCACCUUAGAAAAGUAGAAUUUGGAUUGGAAAAAGAAGGUCCUGAGAGUUAAGAUAGAGUAAAUGGUAAAAGUUUUGUGAAGGAAUCAUUCAGUGGAAGAAAAUUACGUGGGAGAAAAAGAAUCGGAUGAAAGAAACUUACCGAGGUUGGUAUAAGUGUUGAUGAAUUGGUUGGUUGCUGGAAUUUCGGGGACGAAAUUCUAUAAGGAGGGAAGAUUGUCACAGCCCGUUCCAAAUUAUUAUAUUCGUGGCUGUGAAUGGACGAAAUUGCCCUUAAGAAAUACUAAAUUUGUGAAGCUCAGGUUGCUAAUUAUCUAGGUUCCUAAGUUUGAAAAUAAAAUGGAAUUUAAUAAGGAUGGAACUUAGAUUUUUAGGUUAAAAUGUUAAAGUUUGGUGUUUGGAGAUUGGAAUAAGGACCACGUGGGAUCCCCACAUCCCUCAAAACCCUCCUCAUUUCCCGUUCACUGUCUUUCUCUCUCCUCCUUCACGAUUUCUCACUCUCUCUGUCUCUCUCCUUCGAACUCACACGGACCACCACCAAAACCACCCUAAAUCUAUACCAACGUCAAGUUUAAGACCACAUUUGGACUCCUGGAACUUCCACGAUCACGUAGACACCAAUUUCAGGUAAGUUUUACUUCGGAAAACCUAGAUUCUAAACUCCCCGUGGAAGAGCACUGUUCAUGAUCUUCUAAAUGACUACGUUUUAGGCUAAAACAAGAUCACAGCGAGCUUAGUGAGGUCCCAAGGAAGCUCGGAGUGCUUCGUUGGAAGUUUUUGGACGUAAGAACACGGAGAUCGACAAGCUCAAAGUUUGGCCGGAGCUUUCGAGGCGUUUUCCGGCGAAUACCCGGCGAGUUAGGAGUCUAGGUAGGUAUCAAUCUCUUCGUCUCGUCAAGUACUACAACUUUCCUUUUUGUUUCACUCAAUUUCGUUGAGUAUUGAAGAAGUUAUACUCAUUUGAAAAAUACCCAGUUUCCGGCGACCUCCGAGGAUUUCGAGGCAGUUUCCGGCCAAACCACGGCGAACUAGGUGUUUUGCAAGGUACCAUUCUCUUUGUCUCUUCAAGGGCUACAACUUUAGUUUUUGAAUCACUUGAUUUCGUUGAGAAAUGACAAAGUUAUGGCAAUUUGAAAAACUGCCCGGAAAACGGCCGCCGGAAAAACCAGUCCGGCGACCCAAGGAAGAAGAAGGUGCUACAGUAAAAAUAAAAAAUAAAAAUAAAAUUAUUUUAAAAUAUAUCGACGUCCGUGACGUCGAGUAGAUCACUGUGGUAUAUUCAUAUACCUAAAUUGAACACCGUAUGAGAAAGUUAUUGAAGAUUGUUGGUUAGGUGUUCAAAUAACGUUUUAUAGUUUUCACAUUUAGGUGAAAAUGUGAAUUGAUGAUCCGACCGUUGGAUCAUCACCAAACUUUGAUACGUUAUAAUACGUAAUAUUUGAGGAUUAUUGGAACUUACGGAUUGGGAAUCCGAGUUACGGAUCUUCCGGAAUUGGAAUUUUAAGUCCAUAAUAUAAAAUGUUAACCGUCACUUAGUUUUGGAAAUUGACGGAAAUCCAACCGUUGGAUGGUAAUGAAAUUUUAGGAUGUUGUCCUAGAGGUAUAAUGUGGACCUCUGGAAGUUAUGGAUUUAAAAUCUGAGUGGCAGAUCUUCCGGAUCGAACUACGUAGUGACGUAUUUUAUAUAAGUUAAAUAUUCUAUCGAUAUGAAUUCUGAGGUUGGAUUUGAUUACUAUUCUAGGCGGCGAUCGUCGUGACGCCUUGAUGUGUGGUGCUAGGGAGUUGUUGGAUGAACUCCAGGUGAGUGGGCAGUUUUGUUUUUCCGUAUAUAUAUAUAUACUUAACGUUUUCCCAGAAAUUGAAAAUGCAUGAAAUUAUGUUUAAAAUGAAAUGCAUAUGAGUUAUGUGGAAAAACGGGAAGUGAAAUACCAUGCAUAGAAUUGAUAUGAAAAGUAUAUAGAAAUGUGAGUUGAAAUGCCAUGCAUGAAUUAAUAUAUGAUGCAUAUGUAUGAAUUGGUGC